rnacentral:rRNA from 1 species
GGGAUUGCCCUAGUAACGGCGAGUGAAGCGGCAACAGCUCAAAUUUGAAAUCUGGCGCAAGCCCGAGUUGUAAUUUGGAGAGGAUGCUUCAGGGCAGCGGCCGGUCUAAGUUCCUUGGAACAGGACGUCAUAGAGGGUGAGAAUCCCGUAUGCGACCGGUUGGCACCCGUCACGUAGCUCCUUCGACGAGUCGAGUUGUUUGGGAAUGCAGCUCUAAAUGGGAGGUAAAUUUCUUCUAAAGCUAAAUAUUGGCCAGAGACCGAUAGCGCACAAGUAGAGUGAUCGAAAGAUGAAAAGCACUUUGGAAAGAGAGUUAAAAAGCACGUGAAAUUGUUGAAAGGGAAGCGCAUGCAAUCAGACUUGUCGGCGGUGUUCCGCCGGUCUUUUGACCGGUCUACUCGCCGCCGGCAGGCCAGCAUCAUCUGGGUGCGCCGGACAAAGGCGCGGGGAAUGUAGCUCCUCGGAGUGUUAUAGCCCCGCGCACAAUACGGCGCCGCCCGGGUGAGGUCCGCGCUUCGGCUAGGAUGCUGGCGUAAUGGUUGUAUGCGGCCCGUCUUGAAACACGGACCAAGGAGUCUAACAUCUAUGCGAGUGUUCGGGUGUCAAACCCCUACGCGGAAUGAAAGUGAACGGAGGUGGGAAGCGCAAGCUGCACCAUCGACCGAUCCUGAUGUCUUCGGAUGGAUUUGAGUAAGAGCAUAGCUGUUGGGACCCGAAAGAUGGUGAACUAUGCCUGAAUAGGGUGAAGCCAGAGGAAACUCUGGUGGAGGCUCGCAGCGGUUCUGACGUGCAAAUCGAUCGUCGAAUUUGGGUAUAGGGGCG